rnacentral:lncRNA from 1 species
CAAAGACUCGCUUCCGCACAAGCUCAGAGCGGCACCUUGAGGCCUGCAUGGCUUCCCCUCUUGUCUCACUGAGCACUUCUUGCCAAGGCCUGGAUGGCUAAGGGGUGCAAGCACCGUCCGAGCAGGAUCACUCUUGGCCCAGCCCCCCUCCAAGUGAGGAGGCCUGUUAGGGUCCGUCCUGCGCACACAUAAAAGGCACAAGCGAAUCAAUGAACUGAUUGGGUGAAUGAGAUGUGUAUUUGGGCCAUUACAUGUGACAGCAGAGUACAGGCAUUGCCAACAGUUAUUCAUUCAUCAAACACUCCCAGAGCUCUGAUGGUCCAGGCGCCGUGCCAGGCACCGUGCCAGGCAUGAAAGAUGGUGAACGAGAUGUGGCCCUGGCCUGCAGUGUCUGACUCGUAGGAGGAGGAGACCCACAGCGGCACUGGAUGAGGCCACGGGAGGUCGGUCCCAGCCUGGCCGCAAACACAAGGAUGCACUCUGUGGGCCAGCCGGCCGGGCCAGUCACAGGGAGGGAGGCCUGCCAGCUCUUCCCCCAGCUGCCUGGCCCUGUGGUGUGCCGCCUCCCGGGACAAGGACGGUCACACGUCGCGGCUCUAAUUGAAGCCACUUCUGCAGUCUGGCGGAGAUGCUCUCCCGUCCUAGAGGGCUGCAUGGCUGGCUCGGCGCCUGCUGCCGCCUCCUCUCCGGCCAUGCUCCGCUGGGAUUUUCCCGAGGGCCCCUGGGAAGGAACGCGGCCCGGCUUCUGGGGAAAGGACUCAUCUCCGGGGUCCCUGUCGCCAAGGCCGGCCGGGCCACCUGUUGUUACACUUUGCAAACCAGUGCUGCAGGGAGCCUGCUGGGGACCCGCGUGUGGUGGGGUCCCGAGUGGCCGGGGCUCGGUGGAAAGCAUCCUCCCCGCAGGCUCUGAGACCCGGGGCAGGGAAUCGUCUCACCGGGCCUCAGUCUCUCCUCUGCACAGUUUGAGCCAGGAGCGCGGGGCGCACACGGGAACACGCCACAUGGGGGCACAGCACGUGCGCGGAGGUUGGUAGGAGGAGAGGAUCCCAGCCGUUUUCUCCUUGAUGCCAAACUACACCCAGCUGGGAGCGCUCUGCCCUUUCCACCGCUGCCCACGGGGACCGGGCCUGCAGGACGCGGGCACCAGGGCCCGGGCACUGCUGCAG